rnacentral:tRNA from 1 species
GCACUCUUAGCUCAGUUGGUAGAGCAACUGACUCUUAAUCAGUGGGUCCUGGGUUCGAAUCCCUGAGGGUGUA